rnacentral:rRNA from 1 species
UACGGGGGGGGUAAGCGUUGUUCGGAAUUACUGGGCGUAAAGGGCUCGUAGGCGGCCAACUAAGUCAUACGUGAAAUCCCUCAGCUUAACUGGGGAACUGCGUGUGAUACUGGAUGGCUUGGAUUUGGGAGAGGGAUGCGGAAUUCCAGGUGUAGCGGUGAAAUGCGUAGAUAUCGGGAGGAACACCAAUGGCGAAGGCAGCUCGCUGGGACGGUACUGACGCUGAGACGCGAAAGCGUGGGGAGCAAACAGG